rnacentral:rRNA from 1 species
UACGUAGGGGGCAAGCGUUGUUCGGAAUUACUGGGCGUAAAGGGCGCGUAGGCGGCUUCUCAAGCGUGUGGUGAAAGUCCGGGGCUCAACCCCGGAUCGGCCGUGCGGACUGGGGAGCUCGAGUUCUGUAGAGGCGGGUGGAAUUCCGGGUGUAGCGGUGGAAUGCGUAGAGAUCCGGAAGAACACCGGUGGCGAAGGCGGCCCGCUGGGCAGAGACUGACGCUGAUGCGCGACAGCGUGGGGAGCAAACAGG